rnacentral:rRNA from 1 species
AUGCCUGACGUCCCUCUGCGCCCCGUAUGUCCCGCGCACAUCCGACGCGCCCGACGAGCCCGACCGCACCAGUGCGUCCCGCACGUCCCGCGCGCACCCGACGAGCCCGACCGCACCAAACGCUCACCGCGCGCCGCCUCCGCGUCCGCCAUGGCAGCCGCCAGCUACAAACGCCGGAAGAAUGUAGCCGAACUCGAGCACGGACUCGAGUACAACGGCGACAUACGCCUCCUCCCAACGUCAACCGCACGCUCGUACGCGUGCCCGCGGUCCCGACGCGUCCAGUGCGCACCCAUAACACGCACCAGUCGCGCCCGGCUCGCCGCCACAGCUUAUUGCCCUGCAUCGCUGCGGCCUCAACCACAGCGCAACACCUCCAUGCCGCCAUGCCGCCCUGUCUCGUUGAAGCCUCCACCACGCAGGUCCUCCGCGGCCUUCUCCCCGUGCCGCCGCAGCCACCGCCAUGGCCUUCUUGCCGCGCCGCGCACCUCCAUAGACCGACACAAGGCCCGGAGCUUCACCACGCAGCCGCCGGCGAACUCCGCCACCGCCGGCACGCCUCCGGCAAAGAGAACGACGCCCAAGAUGAACCAUGUCAUGAUACCAAUUGUUGGAACUGCAGCCCUCUAG